rnacentral:rRNA from 1 species
GCACAGAGUUAGCCGUCCCUUCCUCUUCCGCUACUAUCAGGUUGUCAUCUUUUAAAUAACAACGGUUGAUCGCAAAUGACAGGGGUUUACGGGCCGAAGCCAUUCAUCCCCCACGCGGCGUCGCUCCAUCAGGCUUUCGCCCAUUGUGAAAAAUUCUCGACUGCUGCCACCCGUAGGUGUCUGGACCGUGUCUCAGUUCCAGUGUGGCUGGUCGUCCUCUCAGACCAGCUACCCGUCUUAGCCUUGGUGGGCCGUUACCUCACCAACUAGCUGAUAGGCCGCGGGCUCAUCGUGAAGUGCCAGGCCUUACGGUCCCCAGCUUCAAAGUCAGGAAGAUGCCCUCCCGACGUCACAUCCGGUAUUAGCUCGCCUUUCAGCGAGUUAUCCCGGGCUUCACGGCAGAUUACCCACGUGUUACGCACCCUUGCGCCGCUGAACUUCCAGAAUAUUGCUACCCUGAAAAUCCCGCUCGACUUGCAUGUCUUAUCCACGCCGCCAGCGUUCGUU